AAGGAAGGUUUGAGGGCAAAUAACUUGCUAAUCCAGUCAGGUCUGAAAAGAAGCAGCUGUAACAAGAUUGUUUGGGUCUUAAAGCCUUCCAUUUA
rnacentral:SRP_RNA from 1 species